AGGGAAUCUUCGGCAAUGGACGAAAGUCUGACCGAGCAACGCCGCGUGAGUGAAGAAGGUUUUCGGAUCGUAAAACUCUGUUGGUAGAGAAGAACGUUGGUGAGAGUGGAAAGCUCAUCAAGUGACGGUAACUACCCAGAAAGGGACGGCUAACUACGUGCCAGCAGCCGCGGUAAUACGUAGGUCCCGAGCGUUGUCCGGAUUUAUUGGGCGUAAAGCGAGCGCAGGUGGUUUAUUAAGUCUGGUGUAAAAGGCAGUGGCUCAACCAUUGUAUGCAUUGGAAACUGGUAGACUUGAGUGCAGGAGAGGAGAGUGGAAUUCCAUGUGUAGCGGUGAAAUGCGUAGAUAUAUGGAGGAACACCGGUGGCGAAAAGCGGCUCUCUGGCCUGUAACUGACACUGAGGCUCGAAAGCGUGGGGAGCAAACAGGAUUAGAUAGCCC
rnacentral:rRNA from 1 species